rnacentral:rRNA from 1 species
UUAAGCAUAUCAAUAAGCGGAGGAAAAGAAACCAACCGGGAUUGCCUCAGUAACGGCGAGUGAAGCGGCAAGAGCUCAAAUUUGAAAGCUGGCUCCUUCGGGGUCCGCAUUGUAAUUUGCAGAGGAUGCUUCGGGUGCGGCCCCUGUCUAAGUACCCUGGAACGGGUCGUCAGAGAGGGUGAGAAUCCCGUCUGGGAUAGGGUGUCCGCGCCCGUGUGAAGCUCCUUCGACGAGUCGAGUUGUUUGGGAAUGCAGCUCUAAAUGGGUGGUAAAUUUCAUCUAAAGCUAAAUACUGGCCGGAGACCGAUAGCGCACAAGUAGAGUGAUCGAAAGAUGAAAAGCACUUUGAAAAGAGAGUUAAAAAGCACGUGAAAUUGUUGAAAGGGAAGCGCUUGCGACCAGACUCGCCCCCGGGGUUCAGCCGGCAUUCGUGCCGGUGUACUUCCCCGGGGGCGGGCCAGCGUCGGUUUGGGCGGCCGGUCAAAGGCCCCUGGAAUGUAGUACCCUCCGGGGUACCUUAUAGCCAGGGGUGCAAUGCGGCCAGCCUGGACCGAGGAACGCGCUUCGGCACGGACGCUGGCAUAAUGGUCGCAAACGACCCGU